UCAUCUUCGGGGGUAGAGCACUGUUUCGGCUAGGGGGUCAUCCCGACUUACCAACCCGAUGCAAACUACGAAUACCGAAGAAUGUUAUCACGGGAGACACACGGCGGGUGCUAACGUCCGUCGUGAAGAGGGAAACAACCCAGACCGCCAGCUAAGGUCCCAAAGUCAUGGUUAAGUGGGAAACGAUGUGGGAAGGCACAGACAGCCAGGAUGUUGGCUUAGAAGCAGCCAUCAUUUAAAGAAAGCGUAAUAGCUCACUGGUCGAGUCGGCCUGCGCGGAAGAUGUAACGGGGCUAAACCAUGCACCGAAGCUGCGGCAGCGACACGAUGUGUUGUUGGGUAGGGGAGCGUUCUGUAAGCCUGCGAAGGUGGCCUGUGAGGGUUGCUGGAGGUAUCAGAAGUGCGAAUGCUGACAUAAGUAACGAUAAAGCGGGUGAAAAGCCCGCUCGCCGGAAGACCAAGGGUUCCUGUCCAACGUUAAUCGGGGCAGGGUGAGUCGACCCCUAAGGCGAGGCCGAAAGGCGUAGUCGAUGGGAAACAGGUUAAUAUUCCUGUACUUGGUGUUACUGCGAAGGGGGGACGGAGAAGGCUAUGUUAGCCGGGCGACGGUUGUCCCGGUUUAAGCAUGUAGGCUGGUUAUCCAGGCAAAUCCGGAUAAUCAAGGCUGAGGUGUGAUGACGAGGCACUACGGUGCUGAAGUAACAAAUGCCCUGCUUCCAGGAAAAGCCUCUAAGCAUCAGGUAACAUCAAAUCGUACCCCAAACCGACACAGGUGGUCAGGUAGAGAAUACCAAGGCGCUUGAGAGAACUCGGGUGAAGGAACUAGGCAAAAUGGUGCCGUAACUUCGGGAGAAGGCACGCUGGUGUGUAGGUGAAGNUGGAGCUGAGACCAGUCGAAGAUACCAGCUGGCUGCAACUGUUUAUUAAAAACACAGCACUGUGCAAACACGAAAGUGGACGUAUACGGUGUGACGCCUGCCCGGUGCCGGAAGGUUAAUUGAUGGGGUUAUCCGUAAGGAGAAGCUCUUGAUCGAAGCCCCGGUAAACGGCGGCCGUAACUAUAACGGUCCUAAGGUAGCGAAAUUCCUUGUCGGGUAAGUUCCGACCUGCACGAAUGGCGUAAUGAUGGCCAGGCUGUCUCCACCCGAGACUCAGUGAAAUUGAACUCGCUGUGAAGAUGCAGUGUACCCGCGGCAAGACGGAAAGACCCCGUGAACCUUUACUAUAGCUUGACACUGAACAUUGAGCCUUGAUGUGUAGGAUAGGUGGGAGGCUUUGAAGCGUGGACGCCAGUCUGCGUGGAGCCAACCUUGAAAUACCACCCUUUAAUGUUUGAUGUUCUAACGUUGGCCCCUUACCGGGGUUGCGGACAGUGUCUGGUGGGUAGUUUGACUGGGGCGGUCUCCUCCCAAAGCGUAACGGAGGAGCACGAAGGUUAGCUAAUCCUGGUCGGACAUCAGGAGGUUAGUGCAAUGGCAUAAGCUAGCUUGACUGCGAGCGUGACGGCGCGAGCAGGUGCGAAAGCAGGUCAUAGUGAUCCGGUGGUUCUGAAUGGAAGGGCCAUCGCUCAACGGAUAAAAGGUACUCCGGGGAUAACAGGCUGAUACCGCCCAAGAGUUCAUAUCGACGGCGGUGUUUGGCACCUCGAUGUCGGCUCAUCACAUCCUGGGGCUGAAGUAGGUCCCAAGGGUAUGGCUGUUCGCCAUUUAAAGUGGUACGCGAGCUGGGUUUAGAACGUCGUGAGACAGUUCGGUCCCUAUCUGCCGUGGGCGCUGGAGAAUUGAGGGGGGCUGCUCCUAGUACGAGAGGACCGGAGUGGACGCAUCACUGGUGUUCGGGUUGUCAUGCCAAUGGCACUGCCCGGUAGCUAAAUGCGGAAGAGAUAAGUGCUGAAAGCAUCUAAGCACGAAACUUGCCCCGAGAUGAGUUCUCCCUGAGACUNUAAGUCUCCUGAAGGAACGUUGAAGACGACGACGUUGAUAGGCCGGGUGUGUAAGCGCAGCGAUGCGUUGAGCUAACCGGUACUAAUGAACCGUGAGGCUUAACCUU
rnacentral:rRNA from 1 species